CACAUAAAAUCACAGCAGUUUGCAUUUAUUGUAAGAGCUUUUGUCCAGUUUACUUCGAUGACCAACUUCAUUGUAAAGGACCUUUUUUUGUGAAUAUUUAUAAGGUUUUGAGGUCAUCUGUAAACUAUAAGUUGACAAAAUGAACAUUUAUAUUUGUCCCAGCAUAUGCCUAUCCCAGCAAAACACACACAAAAAAUAUUGGUCAAUCAUUUUACUUUAAUGGGCAUUUGCAAAUUUUCGGACAAAAAAAUGUUGUCGAUAUGGCUCAAGGAUGCAAGCUAAACACUUUUGGCUAGUAGAAGUAUGUCCAGCUCCAACAAAAAAAAUCCUAAGAUUUAAAGUUGAACAUUAAGAAUUAUGCUGAUAAUAAUCCAUAUUCAUUUUCCAGCAAGUAUUGGAAAGGCUUAAAUAAAUGUGGACAUUGUUACACCAGAUCUACAAGAUUUCCCUUUAAACACUUUUUUGAUUCCAAGCUCUUUGUACAGAUCGACUCAGCGUGUUUUUCCAUUUUUCACAUGCGUGUCCUCGCUUUGUUAUAAUUCUCCUUUAAGUGCUGUUGAUGUCAAGCCUUAAAUCUCCCAGAUUUAUUGUCAGAUAAUUCAGGACGGCCUUUGUAUUUGGCUGUCACUGUCUGCAGUCAAAGAGCCGGCCCUGUCUUGACAUAUCACACGUUCAGCCGCUUUGCCUUCAGUGUAGGGAGGGUGAAGGAAGACAGGAAAAGGCUUGUCGUGGGCCGAACGGAUAAAGUAUGAAAGAGAAAUGAAUAAAAGAGUAACUGCCUCCUCCUUUCUCUUCUGCAGAGUUGAGGUUGUCUGUGAUAAUCUUAUCGCACUAUGAUGGCGAGCGGACGGGGACAAAAGAGGCCGAGGCACGUUGAAGGUCUGAUGGGUUGCUGAUUGCCAGCGAAGAGACAGUUGCCAUGGAAAUGAUGAAUGACAUGUGUCCCACCUGAUAGGACGGGCACAGCAGUGGAGUGAUGAAUAGGAACAUUUGUGUGUUAGGAUGCAGUGCUGCAGCUCUCCUGUCUAAGUGGUCUCCUGAUAAGAGGGAAGCUGAGAUUUCUCUCAGUAUUUCUCUCCUGGCAAACAGUGAACACAAUGAGUCAUGACACUAUCCAAGGGCUGCAGUGAAGUGUGUGGGUGGACAGCUACA
rnacentral:lncRNA from 1 species